CCGGAUUUAUUGGGUUUAAAGGGAGCGUAGGCCGGAGAUUAAGCGUGUUGUGAAAUGUAGACGCUCAACGUCUGCACUGCAGCGCGAACUGGUUUCCUUGAGUACGCACAAAGUGGGCGGAAUUCGUGGUGUAGCGGUGAAAUGCUUAGAUAUCACGAAGAACUCCGAUUGCGAAGGCAGCUCACUGGAGCGCAACUGACGCUGAAGCUCGAAAGUGCGGGUAUCGAACAGGAUUAGAUACCCUGGUAGUCCGCACGGUAAACGAUGGAUGCCCGCUGUUGGUCUGAAUAGGUCAGCGGCCAAGCGAAAGCAUUAAGCAUCCCACCUGGGGAGUACGCCGGCAACGGUGAAACUCAAAGGAAUUGACGGGGGCCCGCACAAGCGGAGGAACAUGUGGUUUAAUUCGAUGAUACGCGAGGAACCUUACCCGGGCUUGAAUUGCAGAGGAAGGAUUUGGAGACAAUGACGCCCUUCGGGGCCUUUGUGAAGGUGCUGCAUGGUUGUCGUCAGCUCGUGCCGUGAGGUGUCGGCUUAAGUGCCAUAACGAGCGCAACCCUCGCCGCCAGUUACUAACAGUUAAAGCUGAGGACUCUGGCGGGACUGCCAUCGUAAGAUGUGAGGAAGGUGGGGAUGACGUCAAAUCAGCACGGCCCUUACGUCCGGGGCUACACACGUGUUACAAUGGGCGGUACAGAAGGCAGCUACCUGGCGACAGGAUGCCAAUCCCUAAAGCCGCUCUCAGUUCGGACUGGAGUCUGCAACCCGACUCCACGAAGCUGGAUUCGCUAGUAAUCGCGCAUCAGCCACGGCGCGGUGAAUACGUUCCCGGGCCUUGUACACACCGCCCGUCAAGCCAUGAAAGCCGGGGGUACCUGAAGUGCGUAACCGCAAGGAGCGCCCUAGGGUAAAACCGGUAAUUGGGGCUAAGUCGUAACAAGGUAGCCGUACCGGAAGGUGCGGCUG
rnacentral:rRNA from 1 species